GGCGGGCUCCGUGCUUCGGCAUCNNACCGUCCGCGCGCACACCACAUCAGUUCCGCAUCAAGAUNUUCUUGUGCAAAAAA
rnacentral:misc_RNA from 1 species